UACGUAGGGUGCAGGCGUUAAUCGGAAUUACUGGGCGUAAAGCGUGCGCAGGCGGCUCCUUAAGUCAGAUGUGAAAGCCCCGGGCUUAACCUGGGAACUGCGUUUGAAACUGGGGAGCUAGAGUGUAGAAGAGGGGGGUGGAAUUCCAGGUGUAGCAGUGAAAUGCGUAGAUAUCUGGAGGAACACCGGUGGCGAAGGCGGCUAUCUGGACAGAGUCUGACGCUGAGGCGCGAAAGCUAGGGGAGCAAACAGG
rnacentral:rRNA from 1 species